UUUCGCAGUGUCUGCUGGUGCAGCUUCUGUAGGGACUAAUCCUCCCUACUCUGGUCGGGUGCGGCGCUGGACCGGGGUUGUGUCCGGGCUCUUCACGUAGAGCCGCCGCCUCCUCGCUGCCUCCUUGCUUCUC